GACGAACGCUGGCGGCGUGCUUAACACAUGCAAGUCGAACGAUGAAGCUGGAGCUUGCUCCGGUGGAUUAGUGGCGAACGGGUGAGUAACACGUGAGCAAUCUGCCCUUGACUCUGGGAUAACUGCGGGAAACUGUAGCUAAUACCGGAUACGAGGCUCGAAGGCAUCUUCGGGUCUGGAAAGAAUUUCGGUCAAGGAUGAGCUCGCGGCCUAUCAGCUUGUUGGUGAGGUAAUGGCUUACCAAGGCGACGACGGGUAGCCGGCCUGAGAGGGUGACCGGCCACACUGGGACUGAGACACGACCCAGACUCCUACGGGAGGCAGCAGUGGGGAAUAUUGCACAAUGGGCGAAAGCCUGAUGCAGCAACGCCGCGUGAGGGAUGAAGGCCUUCGGUUUGUAAACCUCUUUUAGCAGGGAAGAAGCGAAAGUGACGGUACCUGCAGAAAAAGCACCGGCUAACUACGUGCCAGCCGCCGCCGUAA
rnacentral:rRNA from 1 species